UGAAAAUUUUUGAGAGGAGUCUCAGGGAAGUGGGAUUCAGUUUUGAACUGACUGCUGUGCCUGACGCAGGAUUAGGGCAUGUGGAAAUUAACUACGGAUUGGAAACUAUCAUGAGUCGAUGGCCAUUAAGCAAUUGGGUCUCUCCGAUAAUAGAUGGGUAGAGCAAAGCAGCCUGGGAGCAUCUUUGUUUUAUAAUAAAUUGUGAUAUCGGAGAAAACAUGCUGUCCCAUUCCCAUCGAGAAAGUUGUGCUUCUUCAGGAGGAUUUUGGAUAUUCUUGGCUGUUUGUGCUUCAAAUAGAUUUCAGGAUCCAGGCUUCUUCAUCUCGUAAAAUGAAUCCUGGAGUGUUGCCUCUUCUACCAGCGUCUGUAAGAGUCUGAGGCCGGCCGAGUGGUGUGUUGGUUAAGAACUGGCUUGGGAUGC